rnacentral:lncRNA from 8 species
GUGUGGAAUCUGCUAUUAUUCCCACUGACUAUUGUCCCACCAUCCGAGCCCUCUGAUUGGCUGCAGAGUGCAUGACAGCGUAGGAGGAGGCACAUAAAUAAAUAGAAAGUGGAGAUGCGGAGUUCACUAAUGAAGACUCUCUAGGCAUCAGCUGACCCAAGACCAGCAGCAACGCAGCACAGCAGAGGAGCUACCACAACACAAACGCUAGAGCAAGACCUACCAAGACCAACUUUUCCACUUUUUUUGACGAGCUUCAAACUCAAGACCAAUAUCUAAACAUGCCAGCCUACAUGGACAUCACUCUUCAGGACAGCAUGAACGUGAACGAUCAGCACAUUAGGUGUAAACUCUCUCUGUUUGAGAGGAAAUGCAUCAGUAGUAUGGAGAAACUGAAGAUAGUCAUUGGAGGACACGUCCAGAACGGGAUCCCUACAUCUCCCAUAUCUCCUAUUUUGGAGAAGACGGUGUCCUUUUUCACUCCGAAGAAGGCCUUGGUGUCACCCACCGGCUAUUCCAAAUGUUCCAGGGACAUGCUGCGCCUUUUUCCCGCUCCAGAGGAGGACAUUGUACCACUGCUUUGAACAAUGAAUUGAGAGAGACGCAUGGAUGUGGAGGUUAUAGGUCAGGGGUCACAUACUGGGCUGAGACUAGGGUCUGAGACAAAAUGAUCACUGCACUGUGAGAUACAAACCCGUGGGAAGGGCAUGAAUUGAGCUUAAGGCAAGCAGAGCACAAUAUACUGUUUAUGUGCAAAUUCUGCUCAGAUUAUAUGUGCCAUUUCUACGUCUGUUCCCACCAUGGUGAAUGGUUGGUUGUCUUAUUUGGACCCGACUGUCAGAGACAGGUCUGGAACCUAUGCUUUUGUUUUACAUGACAUUUAAAGCUGCAGAUUCAUUUGAAAUGAAUUGUGUGCAUUGAUAUAAGCAGAGUUGUACUGCUUCAUUCUUUCUGUGAAAUGAUGAACCAAAUACAUUGUUUCAAGGAGAAAUAAUGCCUUGAUUCAAGUUGGAAAAUAAAUCUACACGCAUACCUUUAUUUUUGGAAAGGAACAGUGCAUUGUUGUGCAUGAUACAUAAAGUAAAUGUUUAUUUUAUUGUAAGACCCCAAAGGGGAUUUAUAUUCUUGUUAAUAUUGUAGUUUAUUUUUGUAAGCUAAUAAAACUGCAAACAAAAUCCACUUUUCUUUUGUCUAUUCCUCAUAUCUGGGAUUUUUGUCUGAAAAUUAAUACUGAAUUUUACUGGCUUCAUUUACCAGCCUAUAGAAACUCAGGAGAAGGACAUCUUCUGAUUAUUUGAACGCACUUCCUCAAAAUGUGUACACUGCAAAAAAGUCCAAAGCAUCACUAUGGUUCUUCAUAUAAGGGACUUACCAUUUCCCGCCAAGUGUGCACUUGCUUUCAUGGAUUUAAAUGCAUGGCACUGGUGAGCCAUCAUAUUUCUUACACUAGUUCUUUCCUUUUAAAUCCAUGAGAUGGAGUGAAAGAGGAGAGGGUAGAUAGGGAAUAGGAUCGUU